UACGGACUGAAAAUCCGUUGGCUUUAUAGACCAUGAGGGUUCAAGUCCCUCUACCCCCA
rnacentral:tRNA from 3 species